CCGAUUCCUACGGGAGGCAGCAGUAGGGAAUCUUCCGCAAUGGGCGAAAGCCUGACGGAGCAACGCCGCGUGAGUGAUGAAGGUCUUCGGAUCGUAAAACUCUGUUAUUAGGGAAGAACAAAUGCGUAAGUAACUGUGCGCGUCUUGACGUUACCUAAUCAGAAAGCCACGGCUAACUACGUGCCAGCAGCCGUGGUAAUACGUAGGUGGCAAGCGUUAUCCGGAAUUAUUGGGCGUAAAGCGCGCGUAGGCGGUUUUUUAAGUCUGAUGUGAAAGCCCACGGCUCAACCGCGGAGGGUCAUUGGAAACUGAAAAACUUGAGUGCAGAAGAGGAAAGUGGAAUUCCAUGUGUAGCGGUGAAAUGCGCAGAGAUAUGGAGGAACACCAGUGGCGAAGGCGACUUUCUGGUCUGUAACUGACGCUGAUGUGCGAAAGCGUGGGGAUCAAACAGGAUUAGAUACCCUGGUAGUCCACGCCGUAAACGAUGAGUGCUAAGUGUUAGGGGGUUUCCGCCCCUUAGUGCUGCAGCUAACGCAUUAAGCACUCCGCCUGGGGAGUACGGCCGCAAGGCUUAAACUCAAAGGAAUUGACGGGGACCCGCACAAGCGGUGGAGCAUGUGGUUUAAUUCGAAGCAACGCGAAGAACCUUACCAAAUCUUGACAUCCUUUGACCGCUCUAGAGAUAGAGUCUUCCCCUUCGGGGGACAAAGCGACAGGUGGUGCAUGGGUUGUCGUCAGCUCGUGUCGUGAGAUGUUGGGUUAAGUCCCGCAACGAGCGCAACCCUUAAGCUUAGUUGCCAUCAUUCAGUUGGGCACUCUAAGUUGACUGCCGGUGACAAACCGGAGGAA
rnacentral:rRNA from 1 species